UACGGGGGGGGCAAGCGUUGUUCGGAAUUACUGGGCGUAAAGGGCGCGUAGGCGGCCUGCUAAGUCGGAUGUGAAAUCCCUCGGCUUAACCGAGGAACUGCCCUCCAAACUGCUUUGCUUGAGGCCGGGAGAGGUGAGUGGAAUUCCCAGUGUAGCGGUGAAAUGCGUAGAUAUUGGGAGGAACACCAGUGGCGAAGGCGGCUCACUGGACCGGUUCUGACGCUGAGGCGCGAAAGCGUGGGGAGCAAACGGG
rnacentral:rRNA from 1 species